rnacentral:rRNA from 1 species
UACGUAGGGUGCAAGCGUUGUCCGGAAUUAUUGGGCGUAAAGAGCUCGUAGGCGGUUUGUCGCGUCGGCUGUGAAAACCUGGGGCUCGACCCCGGGCCUGCAGCCGAUACGGGCAAGCUAGAGUUCGGUAGGGGAGACUGGAAUUCCUGGUGUAGCGGUGAAAUGCGCAGAUAUCAGGAGGAACACCGGUGGCGAAGGCGGGUCUCUGGACCGAAACUGACGCUGAGACGCGAAAGCGUGGGGAGCAAACAGG